rnacentral:rRNA from 1 species
UACGUAGGGGCCGAGCGUUGUCCGGAGUUAUUGGGCGUAAAGCGCGUGUAGGCGGCUUUGCAAGUCGGGUGUGAAAGCCCUCAGCUCAACUGAGGAAGUGCGCCCGAAACUGCAGAGCUUGAGUACCGGAGAGGGUGGCGGAAUUCCCCAAGUAGAGGUGAAAUUCGUAGAUAUGGGGAGGAACACCGGUGGCGAAGCGGCCACCUGGACGGAUACUGACGCUGAGACGCGAAAGCGUGGGGAGCAAACAGG